rnacentral:rRNA from 1 species
UACGGAGGGUGCAAGCGUUAAUCGGAAUUACUGGGCGUAAAGCGUGCGUAGGCGGUUUGUUAAGUCCGUUGUGAAAGCCCCGAGCUCAACUUGGGAAUUGCAGUGGAUACUGGCAGGCUGGAGUACGGUAGAGGAAGGUGGAAUUCCCGGUGUAGCAGUGAAAUGCGUAGAUAUCGGGAGGAACACCAGUGGCGAAGGCGGCCUUCUGGACCAGUACUGACGCUCAUGCACGAAAGCGUGGGGAGCAAACAGG